AAAAACCUAAAAAUGCUUCUUCUGUGAGAGCAAACACGACAUAUUCAGAAGUGCUUCUUCGGAGAAGCACUUUUUUCUCACGCGCAUUGGCUCAAGCUUUCUCGGGUUCUCUUGUGUGACACACUCUCAAACUCAUGCUCUCUCCCUCUCAAUUCUUACGCAACAACAACAAUUACGACGCUGAUUCUCUUGGUCUCGAAUUGGUUGGAUUUGGAUUUCAGAACUGAUUCGAAUUGUUAUUGACUCAGGAUUCGAUUCGCUUUGGGGUUCAGAAUCUAUUUGCGCUCAAAAUUUCAACUCGGAGCAGUUUGAGUUAAAGUUAGAGCAAACAUACGAUAUCAUAAAGCUGAGAAUGGAGGAAUGCUUACCGGUUGAAGCAAUGAGGAGAAGAAAAUGUAGCUUUCGAUCUUGCUCACAAGGAAAAAGUACUAUUGCGCGUGCUUUGAGCCAAAGCUUGCACUCCAAAGGAAAACUGACUUACAUCCUCGAUGGUGACAAUAUUCGGCAUGGUCUAAACCGUGAUCUUAGUUUUAGAGCAGAAGAUCGUUCAGAAAACAUUCGAAGGAUUGGUUGUAACACUGUUUGGUAUGCCUCAUAGUUACUGAUAAGUGGGUGGUCAUUCGAGAGUAUGGUGCAGUCGCGCAGAGGUAGACCCAAUUGGCCGAACUUUGUGAUGAAACAUUGUGUGUUCUUCGUCUGAAUUUUCUUUCAUAUAUUUUCACUUUUGAACCAGAUUGCUGCUCUAGCAUGACCAAAAAUAUUGAGCCAUAGAAGCACACUUUUCAAGUAAAGCCCUGUACUUUCUAGCUUCAUUAUAAAUUCAAUGUGUAGUCGUGUAUUUUAGAAUACAAUUCUGUCUUCAAUCAAAUACAUUGCUCAAUGUGUAGUCCUGUACUUUCUAGCUUCAUUAUAAAUUCAAUGUGUAGUCGUGUAUUUUGGAACAAACUGAAUUUUAGCUAUCAACUCUUUUUCGAUUCUGUUUCGACAUUGUUUGUGUUCUGAAAUUUUCUGCAAUUAGAAUAUUAGAAUUAGAAUAUGAGUUGUUAAUGAAUGUUUUAGCUAGAUGAGAACUUGUUGUUUGUGCUAGAUGUUGAUAUUCAGGUGGGAUUAUGUAUGUGAUUGUAGAUAUUAAUACUAGAUCUCAUACAUCGUAAUUCUAGAUAUUAUUUCUAGUAUAAACCUUUGUAUACUCAUA